GUAUUUGCUCAGAUUAGAUCCACAGCAUCCAGAAAGACUGAACACAUUGCAGCUGCUCUCUGCAGGUCUGAAUCUUCAUCAUAUGUUUGAUUCUUUGUAUUGAAGACCCUACUUUUUUGUUACCUAUUUUCUUCAUUUAGAUCAGGUAAAGAUAGAGUAACAGUCACUGCAUGUUCAGAAUAUUGAUAGCAGAAGUGUGCCUUUUCAGUCCUUAGUUGGAAAGCUGUGAAUGGAAAGUUCCAUUAUUUCUGCAGUAUUUAUACUGAAUUAAAAAGCUCAUUUUUUCCUUUUCUAUCCUUUUACUCCAUUAGGUUCCCAGAUACAUAAGAACUAUUUAAUAAGAUUAAUAGGUGUAUCCACAGAAUUAUCUGUAGCUAUUUGCCCUGUUGUCCUUGAAGAACAUGUGAAAAAUUUUCAAUUAUUAUUAUUAUUAUUAUUUUAUUUUAUUUUAUUUUAUUUUAUUUUAUUUUAUUUUAUUUUAUUUUAUUUUAUUUUAUUUUAUUUUAUUUUAUUUUAUUUUAUUCUGAUGAUGCACUCCUCUCCUUCUCCUUUAGUGCCUGGAUAUUUCUCCAGUCAGCAUCUAGUGCUAUACACAGAAUCCAGAAUUUUCAGAGUCAUCUCUUGAUCAAAAGAAUGGAGCACAUGAAUUAAGAAGUCCUUUCCAUCCUGAAAUACUAGAAUUCUGUGAUUCAUUCUAUUCAUAGUAUAGCCUGAAACCUUUUUCCAUUAUUAUCCAGUCAGUAAUGUUGAAUAAACUUCCUUAAGCCUACUGAUCUUACUCAAAUAUUUUUUGAGCAGAGGAAAGGAUAGAACAGACAUAAUCAAAGAAAACUCAGACCUCGGUAAAGAUUUUUCCUGUUGGGGAAAUGAGAGAACUAUUUUAUGAUACCUUUCCUCUUUUUUCCAUAUAAAUGUGUCUUUUCUUUGGACAAUGUAUAAAUAAGGUCUCCUAUGUUGCUGCCUGCUAAGGAGCCUGUGACUAAUGUUACUAGUAACAUUACUGGAAAUGUUC
rnacentral:lncRNA from 1 species